UACGAAGGGGGGCUAGCGUUGCUCGGAAUCACUGGGCGUAAAGGGUGCGUAGGCGGGUCUUUAAGUCAGGGGUGAAAUCCUGGAGCUCAACUCCAGAACUGCCUUUGAUACUGAAGAUCUUGAGUUCGGGGAGAGGUGAGUGGAACUGCGAGUGUAGAGGUGAAAUUCGUAGAUAUUCGCAAGAACACCAGUGGCGAAGGCGGCUCACUGGCCCGAUACUGACGCUGAUGCACGAAAGCGUGGGGGAGCAAACAGG
rnacentral:rRNA from 1 species